rnacentral:rRNA from 1 species
CAGUAGCCGCGGUAAUACGAAGGGGGCUAGCGUUGCUCGGAAUGACUGGGCGUAAAGGGCGCGUAGGCGGAUGGCACAGUCAGAUGUGAAAUUCCCGGGCUUAACCUGGGGGCUGCAUUUGAUACGUGUUGUCUAGAGUGAGGAAGAGGGUCGUGGAAUUCCCAGUGUAGAGGUGAAAUUCGUAGAUAUUGGGAAGAACGCCGGUGGCGAAGGCGGCGACCUGGUCCUUUACUGACGCUGAGGCGCGAAAGCGUGAGGAGCAAACAGGAUUAGAUACCCGUGUAGUCCCUGUCUCUUAUAA